rnacentral:rRNA from 1 species
UCGAUAAGAACGCAGCAAAAUGCGAUACUUGGUGUGAAUUGCAGAAUCCCGUGAACCAUCGAGUUUUUGAACGCAAGUUGCGCCCGAAGCCAUUUGGUUGAGGGCACGUCUGCCUGGGCGUCACGC